rnacentral:tRNA from 1 species
GCGCCCGUAGCUCAGCUGGAUAGAGCACCGGACUUCUAAUCCGACGGUCGCAGGUUCGAAUCCUGCCGGGCGCGCCA